GACGAACGCUGGCGGCGUGCCUAAUACAUGCAAGUUGAGCGAUGAAGAUUGGUGCUUGCACCAAUUUGAAGAGCAGCGAACGGGUGAGUAACGCGUGGGGAAUCUGCCUUUGAGCGGGGGACAACAUUUGGAAACGAAUGCUAAUACCGCAUAACAACUUUAAAUAUAAGUUUUAAGUUUGAAAGAUGCAAUUGCAUCACUCAAAGAUGAUCCCGCGUUGUAUUAGCUAGUUGGUGAGGUAAAGGCUCACCAAGGCGAUGAUACAUAGCCGACCUGAGAGGGUGAUCGGCCACAUUGGGACUGAGACACGGCCCAAACUCCUACGGGAGGCAGCAGUAGGGAAUCGUCGGCAAUGGACGAAAGUCUGACCGAGCAACGCCGCGUGAGUGAAGAAGGUUUUCGGAUCGUAAAACUCUGUUGGUAGAGAAGAACGUUGGUGAGAGUGGAAAGCUCAUCAAGUGACGGUAACUACCCAGAAAGGGACGGCUAACUACGUG
rnacentral:rRNA from 1 species